GAUCCUGGCUCAGAUUGAACGCUGGCGGCAUGCCUUACACAUGCAAGUCGAACGGUAACGCGGGGCAACCUGGCGACGAGUGGCGAACGGGUGAGUAAUAUAUCGGAACGUGCCCAGUAGUGGGGGAUAGCCCGGCGAAAGCCGGAUUAAUACCGCAUACGACCUAUGGAUGAAAGCAGGGGACCGCAAGGCCUUGCGCUCACGGAGCGGCCGAUGGCAGAUUAGGUAGUUGGUGGGAUAAAAGCUUACCAAGCCGACGAUCUGUAGCUGGUCUGAGAGGACGACCAGCCACACUGGGACUGAGACACGGCCCAGACUCCUACGGGAGGCAGCAGUGGGGAAUUUUGGACAAUGGGGGAAACCCUGAUCCAGCAAUGCCGCGUGAGUGAAGAAGGCCUUCGGGUUGUAAAGCUCUUUUGUCAGGGAAGAAACACCGGCUCUAACACAGUCCGGGAAUGACGGUACCUGAAGAAUAAGCACCGGCUAACUACGUG
rnacentral:rRNA from 1 species